ensembl:lncRNA
CAGUCCUUUAAGUCCACAAAGCUUCAUGUUCAUUUCUUCAUCUGCUUUAAACACAUUUAGUCACUUUUUAGUGUUUGACUGUGUUUGUUUUCUUUAGUCUUCAGUUUUUCUCUCAUUGAUCAGCAGGUUGUAGUCGACCUUUUACUAACUGAUCACAUGGUGAAGUGAAGCAUCCCAUCAGGAGAAAGCUUCCCCAUGUUACCAUGGUAACCACAGUGUUUCCAUCAGGACAGCUACAGGUCACCUUACUGGUCUGUGUUUUACUGACUUCUGGACCCUGAAGAGGAGAAACAGCACAGCUCCAUCUGCUGGAAGAAGAGUGAUAACAUUCAUCUUGUAAAACACUACAUUUAUAGGAUGAGCAUUUUAACAGAGUUUAAAAAGCAGGUUGGUGUGAAGGUGUGAAGGUGUGGACUCUGCUAUGAAUCAGGCUGAGGACCCAGAGGACGGAGUCCCUCCCUCUGAAGCCCCUCUGUGUGGGGAACAUGACAGCCAGACCAAAGCUCAGAGGAUCCAUCAGAGACCAGGACCUGGACCUGGACCCAGCUGUGUGUCCAUGAAGAGUAACCGGUCUAUGGAGCCUCCUCCACUCUUCAAAGAUGUUGGUCCCUCUGUUGAUGCAAGUUCACAUCAGCAGAGAGGAAAGUCUCCUGAACCCAGAUGUUUGUCCAUGAAGAGUGAUCGGUCUAAAGGUUGGCUGAUUGACUUCAAAGAUGGAUGCCGUUCUUAUGACCCAGAGUAAGUUCUUAAACAGAUGAAGAACUGUUCUGAUCCUCAGUUUUGAACUACAUGAAUGUUUGUUCAUUGUUUAAAGUGUUGUUUCCAUGACGAUCCAUCAUGACAGAACUCAUUAUCUUCAUCUAACUGGUCUGUGUGUGUUUAAGUGUGAAUCAUUAACUGUAAACAUCCUCAGAUGUAAACACAAUGUGAGCCAGUUCCUCCACAUCAGGAUCAGCAGAGGUCACAUCUGG